AUGUUCAGACAAUCUGUUGACCUGACACACUUGUCGUUGAUGCCCGAGUACUUAAUUAGGAGGAGUAGCGCAGCCACAACCACAAAGAGAGGUCGAAUCAUUUCUUCAGAACUGAAGCGGGAAAAGCAGUAUAGGAUCGUCGGAUCGACCAUGAAGCGGUCAUCUUCUUCUCGGUCCUCGCUCACACGCCGCGUGGCAAUGCUUCUGGUGAUCGUGUGGUGCUGCACCCUGCUGCCAUUCCCAUGCUCUGCUGUUUGCAAAGGGCGUGCAUUUGGUGACUUUGGUCAGAGCGCUGGGGCCGGGACAAGGGGGGGAGGAAAGCAAUUUGAUCAGGGGGCUAUGCCAGAGGGAGAAGAUAAUGGGGCAGAAGGAAACGGGGGAGGAGGGAUGCAAGUAGGACGGACACCUCCGGCCCCGCGGGGCAAGACACCGAGGAACCACAGGUGA
rnacentral:rRNA from 1 species